GUAGUCAUAUGCUUGUCUCAAAGAUUAAGCCAUGCAUGUCUAAGUAUAAGCAAUCUAUACUGUGAAACUGCGAAUGGCUCAUUAAAUCAGUUAUAGUUUAUUUGAUAGUACCUUUACCUGGAUAACCGUGGUAAUUCUAGAGCUAAUACAUGCUAAAAACCCCGACUUCGGAAGGGGUGUAUUUAUUAGAUAAAAAACCAAUGCCCUCCGGGGCUCCUUGGUGAUUCAUAAUAACUUAACGAAUCGCAUGGCCUUGCGCCGGCGAUGGUUCAUUCAAAUUUCUGCCCUAUCAACUUUCGAUGGUAGGAUAGUGGCCUACCAUGGUCUCAACGGGUAACGGGGAAUUAGGGUUCUAUUCCGGAGAGGGAGCCUGAGAAACGGCUACCACAUCCAAGGAAGGCAGCAGGCGCGCAAAUUACCCAAUCCCAAUACGGGGAGGUAGUGACAAUAAAUACUGAUACAGGGCUCUUUCGGGUCUUGUAAUUGGAAUGAGUACAAUCUA
rnacentral:rRNA from 1 species